CGCCGGAAGUAUCGCUGUUCGAACGAAAUUUAAAUCAGCCGCUUGUUCCCGUCGAGAACCUCGGUUACCUCGGUGCCCCGGCAUCGGCAACACCAACUCAGAAGUGACUAGGCAGCCCACAAACUCCUCAUUCUCAUUUAGGUGCUUCAGCAUUCGAUUCGAUUCCGUUGUUGCGUUGCUCCUUGGGCCAAUGAAAUGAAAAAGCGAGCACAAGUGGUAGUGUGUUCUGUGGCGAGCAGUGAGCGACCACUUUGCAGCGGCUACGGUGCUCAAACCCACGAGUGACCCGGCUGUACUCGGACCAUUUCGGGCUUGCAGCUUACCUUGAUCGUGACCUGAUCUGCCAGUGAUGCCGAGGACACACCGGGCUCCCCAAGGUGCUGCUGCCUCCAGCUCUGCUUCAAAGAUGGCCGACUACCAGCACAGCCCCGCACAUCGUGGUCGCCUGGCAAACGAGCCAGUUAAUUUGUACGUCGCUUCAGCAUGGCCACUGCCGAAUGGCUCACCUCAUGGCCUGGAAGACUCUGAAAAAGACAGGCUAGGUCACGCACAUGCGAGCGGUACAGUCAGCCCUGUAUCCAAGACCACCAGUACCCAAUUAAGCGAAAGUCCAUGCUGUGGGCCAGCCCAGGAGCUUUUUUGGGACCCCCGCACGGCCCCUGCCAACAGCUUCGCCUACUUCUCAUAAAAAGGGGUCCGGUAAACAGAGGCUUCGCCAGUUCUGGGCACAGGUCUUGGAGAAACCUGAUACAGCACUUCUCUUGUCACCAAGCCGGCAACGACCACAGGUGGCUGAUCGUAGGGUUGAUAAGAAGACAAGCAAGUGCUUGUCGACAAACAUUAAAGGUA